rnacentral:rRNA from 1 species
ACGCCUAAUACAUGCAAGUCGAACGAGGUAGCAAUACCUAGUGGCAGACGGGUGAGUAACAUGUGGGUACCUUCCCUUUGGUGAGGAAUAACACGAGGAAACUUGUGCUAAUACCUCAUAAGUCUUCACAGAGAAAGCUUUAUGCGCCAAUGGAUGGGCCUGCACUUGAUUAGUUUGUUGGUGAGGUAAUGGCUCACCAAGACUUUGAUCAAUAGCUGAUUUGAGAGGAUGAUCAGCCACAUUGGGACUGAGACACGGCCCAAACUCCUACGGGAGGCAGCAGUAGGGAAUCUUGCACAAUGGAGGAAACUCUGAUGCAGCGAUGCCGCGUGAGUGAAGAAGGCCUUUGGGUUGUAAAGCUCUUUCGUCGGGGAAGAAAAUGACUGUACCCGAAUAAGAAGGUCCGGCUAACUUCGUGCCAGCAGCCGCGGUAAUACGAAGGGACCUAGCGUAGUUCGGAAUUACUGGGCUUAAAGAGUUCGUAGGUGGUUAAAAAAGUUGGUGGUGAAAUCCCAGAGCUUAACUCUGGAACUGCCAUCAAAACUUUUUAGCUAGAGUAUGAUAGAGGAAAGCAGAAUUUCUAGUGUAGAGGUGAAAUUCGUAGAUAUUAGAAAGAAUACCAAUUGCGAAGGCAGCUUUCUGGAUCAUUACUGACACUGAGGAACGAAAGCAUGGGUAGCGAAGAGGAUUAGAUACCCUCGUAGUCCAUGCCGUAAACGAUGUGUGUUAGAUGUUGGAAAUUUAUUUUCAGUAUCGCAGCGAAAGCGUUAAACACACCGCCUGGGGAG